AUAUGUUUAGUGUAGUUAUAUAUAUAGUUGUACUUCCUGUGUUUGGGGAAUAAUAAAAUGGGAACAUGAAACUUAGCCAGAGCCUACGUGAUUUAGAGAUUAACAAAUAACUUGCAUUUUGUUUGUUAGGUACAAAUUCAUAAAUAAGAAGACAAUCUGGACCUUCUGAACCUUCAAUGGUACAACCCAAAAAUCUUACAAGGUUCUUGUGUUUAAUUCCAUUGAUCAAAUUUACCUCAUUGAAGAAGUCAUCGACUCAUUGUUGCAAAUCAAAUAUUGGUUUUUGAUGACGUUUGGAAGCAUACUUGCAAAUCAAGAUCAAUUGUUGAAUUUUUUUUCCUGAACUGGUACAUAGUUUUAGUUUUAAACCUAGUCAAGUGUUAUUUAUUUAUUUUUAUUUUUUUGUGGACUUCACAUUAGUUCAUUUUGGAAUUUGCUAUGAUGGUUUUUUUUAUUAUACUUAAUGGAUUAAUAUUAAAUUUGUUUGA